AAAUAAAAAAAAAUAAAAAAAAUAAUAAUAAAAAAAAAUAAAAAUAAAAAAAUGAAAAAACGAAGAAAAAAAAAACGAAAAAAAAAAGAAAAACGAAAAAAAAUAAAUAAAUAAAAUAUAACAAAAAAUUUUUUGGACUUGGGCCUCUCUCAUUUGAGCCCACAGGUCCACAAAAACCAGGUUAUAAAUUCAGAGUUUCAGUGA
rnacentral:lncRNA from 1 species